GACGAACGCUGGCGGCGUGCUUAACACAUGCAAGUCGAACGGAAAGGCCCUGCUUUUGUGGGGUGCUCGAGUGGCGAACGGGUGAGUAACACGUGAGUAACCUGCCCUUGACUUUGGGAUAACUUCAGGAAACUGGGGCUAAUACCGGAUAGGAGCUCCUGCUGCAUGGUGGGGGUUGGAAAGUUUCGGCGGUUGGGGAUGGACUCGCGGCUUAUCAGCUUGUUGGUGGGGUAGUGGCUUACCACGGCUUUGACGGGUAGCCGGCCUGCGAGGGUGACCGGCCACAUUGGGACUGAGGUACGGCCCAGACUCCUACGGGAGGCAGCAGUGGGGAAUAUUGCACAAUGGGCGGAAGCCUGAUGCAGCAACGCCGCGUGCGGGAUGACGGCCUUCGGGUUGUAAACCGCUUUCGCCUGUGACGAAGCGUGAGUGACGGUAAUGGGUAAAGAAGCACCGGCUAACUACGUG
rnacentral:rRNA from 1 species